GUGAAAUGAUUCUAGAGAGAACAAGCUGCAGCUAAGAGUGGGUUAAUGUCUGGCAGCUUCCCAGCUAAGUCUCUCUGUCUCUCUCGACUGUUGCAGUAUGAUGGAGGCUGGCUGUGGGGUUGCCGCGGUGAUCGGGAAUGCUUCCUCAGGACCACAGGGAAAACCAGGAAGUGGUGACGUCCUUGAGGGGUGAGCUACUCUCUCACGCGCCACACUGAACCGGUGCUAUGUCAGCUGACCAGGACUCUGCAGAUAUCACACCCAUAAAUAUAAAGAAGACGUGUGUGUGUGUGGGUGAUUGUACGGGCAUGUGUUGUGUGUGUGAGAGAUUGACAGGGAGGAAGAGAGCGAUAGCGAGAGGAAUUCUAAAGACAUUAGAGAUGGCUAUACUAUAUCAUCCCAUUGUAAAGGGUUGUGAUGACACACAUGAUAUCUUCUCAAUCAACUGUAAAUAUUCUGCAAAACAACCAGGCCUAGAUAGGAUAGGAUGGCUCUAAUUUAAUCACAGAUCUCCAGCAGAUGAGACGAGCUCAUUCUUUCAGUGCCUGUGUUCUUGUCCUUAUUAUCAGCAGAUCUCAUGUCUGAGCCCAGGAAGGAAGGAGAAAUCUCAAGGAUCCACUCUUCUUCAUUGUACCUGAGAAAAGUUGGGCUGAAAGGACUUUUCUUCCUCUGCCUAGCACACUGACUCAGAUUUCAGCUGCAGGUUUUGUGAGGCAAUCCCUGGUGGGCCCAGGAUGUGUUUUACUGUAUGUAGGCUAGGCUAUACUCCUCUCUGGAGCUUUCUGUACCAGUCAGUAGCCAUUUGAGACUGUGAAGUUAUUUGUUACCACCAGAAUAACAAGGAUGUAAAUACCACAGUUUUCUGGGCCGCUGGUGCAAUGUCAUGAUUUGAUUUGAUUCGAUCCCCAAAUAUAAUGUGAAUACAUUGGUCUCUCUCGCUGGCUCCCUCUGGUGGAACCCAUGGACACUUAUAUUUAUUUAAAGUAUGUCAAAUGUAAUAUAUUUAUGGAUUCGGAUUCUUCCUGUCACUCAGUCCUUCCCUCCCUCUGCCUCUGUAGGGCCAUGUCACUGUGUAUUACACCAGAUGAAGACAAGAACCAGCCUGAUCCAUACAAGAGCACUAUUCCAACAGAUAAGUCCCCACAAGGGAGCACAAUGGCCAUGGUACGGAAUGAUGAGCUCACAGAGCUUCCUGUCGAGCCUGAGCCCACCCUGCGUUCCUGCAUCAGCACAGCCAGCAUGAAGGUCAAAAACGUGAAGAAGUAGGUGCUCCUGUCCCCACGGAAACAGGCUAUUAUGGGCUGUAAAAUGGGCCUCUAAACCAGGGCAGUA
rnacentral:lncRNA from 1 species